CAUUGGGCCUUAGUGGUGGUUGCCAAGAGAUGGCAAUAAAGGAUUCGCUGAUUGGAGUCACAGACAAGGGACUGACACUCUGAGGAAUUGUCGAGGGUGUGGUCACUCUUGUGGGCAAGCUCUCAGUGCAGCCUCCUAGGAAGCCAUCACCUCCAGUGCAAGCUAUCACCGUGACCGAGUAGUUUGUGUAGGGGACCAGCUCCACUGAAGAAUCACAGACAAACAAUUGCACAAUAAAGUGCAUGGAUGUUCUAAAUUUUUUUAAGGCUUUUUGCCAUGGUACCACAAGAGAGGGGCCUUCAGACUGGCACAACGAGGACAUGUAACCUAACAUAUAUUAGGAAUCUCAAAGUUUCAUAAAGGCAUGAGAUAAUUAAGGAUUGAAUCCCAACACAGAAAAGAACACAGAAAUGGAGAAAACCUAGAUAUGCCUAAAACCUAGAGGCAAGGAACUGCCUGACCCAUAAAUGAAGAUGAUGGAGCCAGCCUGCUUAACACACACGUGGCACUACUUGGACCUCUUCUCCUCUUGGACGUGCCAAGGUUUGAGCUCAGCACUGAGACCAUGAAAGAGGAUGCCCAUGAGGAAGAGAGAAUAAGCAGUUGGAACCCUGCAACUUAAUUCUGAGCUAUCUGAGGAGAGGCAUUGGCACAUAUACUGCUUGUAACCUCUACAAACAGAAUGUAAUAAAUACACUACUGAGAGCUUUUCACUGUUGGUCUCAAAGCAUAUUGUAAGUCUCAAAUUGCAAAUAUUACUCCAGUUUUAGAGACAGAAAGACUUAAUCCCAGAUUAAAUGACAUAUCAGAAAGAAGCCAAACUCCAAACAAAGACCUGCUACCCUAAUUCUGCAUUCCAGCCACUGGACUAGUCCUCUGACAAUCUCCCAGCUCCCCCAGAAUGGUCAGGAGAAGAAUUUCCUCCAAAAUUCUUAUCUGUCUUAACAGAAAUUAUUGCAGCUUCAAUCAAGAGCCAGGAUCAUACUGGAAAUGUAAAUUCUGAGAAAGGUCACUGAUAUUUCUGCUCAUAAA